GGCAUGAGAAAGCCUUGUGCAUGUGUUGAAAGUUCAAAAACUUUUGAGAGAGAAGAAAAGAAAAGAAACAAAAGUGGGCGCAGGGUUUUCAGUGAGUACCCUAGGGUUUCUACCUAGGGUUCAGGAAGUGAGAAGGUGAGCUGUGAGUGUUGUGAGCCCACCAAAUUUUAGAGAGAGCUUCAUCAACCUCUCAAGUACAUUUGAUAAUGAUCCAAAGCAUCCGAAG
rnacentral:lncRNA from 1 species